rnacentral:rRNA from 1 species
AUUCCAGCUCCAAUAGCGUAUAUUAAAGUUGUUGCAGUUAAAAAGCUCGUAGUCGGAUUUUGGUACCAAGCCGAACGGUCUGCCGAACGGUAUGCACUGUUUAGCGGGUACUUCCUUCCGGAAGCCCGUGCUCUCCUUAAUUGGAUGGCACGGUGAGUCCGGAUCAUUUACUUUGAAAAAAUUAGAGUGUUCAAAGCAGGCCUAUGCUCUGAAUAGCUUAGCAUGGAAUAAUAGAAUAGGACUUCGGUACUAUUUUGUUGGUUUCUAGGACCGAAGUAAUGAUUAAUAGGGACAGUUGGGGGCAUUUAUAUUCCAUUGUCAGAGGUGAAAUUCUUGGAUUAACGGAAGAUAAACUACUGCGAAAGCAUCUGCCAAGGAUGUUUUCAUUA